UACAGAGGUCCCGAGCGUUGUUCGGAUUCAUUGGGCGUAAAGGGUGCGUAGGCGGUAGAGUAAGUCUGAUGUGAAAUCCCGGAGCUCAACUCCGGAACUGCAUUGGAUACUGCUUUGCUUGAGUACUGGAGAGGGAACUGGAAUUUACGGUGUAGCAGUGAAAUGCGUAGAGAUCGUAAGGAAGGCCAGUGGCGAAGGCGAGUUCCUGGACAGUUACUGACGCUGAGGCACGAAGGCCAGGGGAGCAAACGGG
rnacentral:rRNA from 1 species